CGGUUAACUCAGUAGCGUGCGGGACUUCGAAGGGGGAGGACGUGUUGCCCUCGCUCCCGCCUCUUAUAUAGUGCCUCUUUGACCUCCCCAGUGCCGUGUGACCUGACCUCGGAGGCUGGCUGGGCCCUGAAUGUCCCUGCCGGAGGAGACGUGGGGCAUUGGGGCAUUCGGCCAGCCUUUUAACCCCUAAACUGACCCUUACGACCAUCACCUCCUCCUCCUCCUCCUCUUUAUCUUCUUCCUCCUCCUCUUCCUCUUCUUCUUCUUUUGAGCCGUCGUUGGUCAAAUAUUAAGGAUGUGCCCCUAGCAAUGGUCUCAGGCCCCCACAGCAUGGCCGAGGCGCGUCCGGACACCCCUAAGAAGUACACGUGUGCCUGCGGUCUGGCCCAGGAGGAUAAAAAGUGCAAGUUUUUAGGGAAGUGUCGGAACUGCCACACCAGAGCUAAGUACUUACGCGGACAAAGUAGCUUCGAUGCUGGGCUACUGUCGCGUGGGUGGAGUGGAGGUGGAGGAGGUGGAGGAGGUGGAGGAAACGGAGGAAAUGGAGGAGGACUAGGAAGCUCGGGUAGCUCUCCAUACUCCUCCACAGCGGCAAGUGCGAACAACAGUGACGAUGGAGGAGGUGGAAGUGGAGGAAGUGGAGGAAGUGGAUCAAGUACCUCCUCAAAUCCUCCCACUAUAACCUCCACUACUACUACUACUACUACUACUGUCUCCUCCUCCUCUACUACUACUACUACUACUACAUCUGCUGCCAGUGGAGGAGGAGGAGGAGGAGGAGGAGGAAGAGGAGGAGGAGGACAGCCCCGGAGAAGAUCGCGCAGCAUGGAUCGCUUUGAUGCCUACAGGA